rnacentral:lncRNA from 1 species
AUGUCACAGAAGGACACGUGGAUGAGGAGAAUGAGGAUUCUGUGCAGGCUGCUCAGAAGAUACCUUGAAUCUAAGAAGACUGAUUGCCACGUGUAUCCCAGCCUGUACCUGAAGGUGAAGGGGAAUGUGUUCAAAAACAAGCAGAUUUUCACGGAACACAUCCACAAGCUGAAGACAGACGAGGCCCACAAGAAGCUUCUGGCUGACCAGGCUGUGGCCCGCAGGUCCAAGACCAAGGAAGAACACAAGCACCAUGAAGAGCGCCUCCAGGCCAAGAAGGAGGAGAUCAUCAAGACUUUGUCCAAGGAGGAAAAGAUCAAGAAAUAA